rnacentral:rRNA from 1 species
GGGGAACUUCGGUUUCCCUGUCUGACCCUUGUCUUUUGCGUACUAUUUGUUUCCUUGGUGGGCUUGCCCGCCGAUAGGACAACCCUUAAACCUUUUGUAAUUGCAAUCAGCGUCAGAAAAACAUAAUAAUUACAACUUUCAACAACGGAUCUCUUGGUUCUGGCAUCGAUGAAGAACGCAGCGAAAUGCGAAAAGUAGUGUGAAUUGCAGAAUUCAGUGAAUCAUCGAAUCUUUGAACGCACAUUGCGCCCCUUGGUAUUCCAUGGGGCAUGCCUGUUCGAGCGUCAUUUGUACCUUCAAGCUCUGCUUGGUGUUGGGUGUUUGUCCCGCUUUCUGCGUGGACUCGCCUCAAAGCAAUUGGCAGCCGGCGUACUAGCCUGGGAGCGCAGCACAUUUUGCGAAUCUCGACUGGAACGCUUGCGUCCAUCAAGCCUUUUUUAACUCUUGACCUCGGAUCAGGUAGGGAUACCCGCUGAACUUAAGCAUAUCAA